UAUCAAAAUGAGUCGGAUGUCGCGGCAGCGCAUUCUUGUAAAAACACGUUUUUUUAUGAAAAAGUGUGUUUUGAGUUGUUUUUUUUUAUGCGUUUCUGAAUAAAUAAAGUCUCAGCUUUCAUAAAAAGUAAGAAUCAAUGUAAAAUUCAAAUGAUAAGUCUAGUUUUGAAGCUCUUAAACAUAACGUUGUCGUAAAGUUUUUACCGGAAGUCCGCUGUAUUGACUCGGCUCAAUAGAGCUGGUUGACAGAUUGUGGUUGACAGAGGAGAUGAAAUCACGUGAGGAAAACAUCGCUCGACUUUUAAAUUAAAUUCCUGUUAGAGGUGCUACAUCUGACGACAACUGGACCGACUUAAAUUCAGAUUAUUUCCCCGCACCGGGUGAUGAGGACAGCGGGUGCGCCGGGUCGGGUCGGAUGCCCGGCUAACGCUAGAGGCUAGGCUAGCUCUCAAUCCGCUGAUCAGGACGGAGAAAGAGAGUUGGAGGAAGACGAGGAGGAAGAUAUUCCACUCAUGGCUGAGCCGAUGAUGACACACAGUGUCUCUGAUUAAAGUUAUUAAAUCAGGACAGUGUUAAAGAGACUGAGAUCGCCCGGCCGGGAGUACCAGUGUAGCUGCAAACUGUACAACAGCGCCGCCCUCUACACCGGAGGAGAUGGAGAGAAGACGCGACUAGAUGAAAGAAAUGACUGAUGAUGAGAAACAUCUGGAUCUCCUUGAGAAGAUCAGCUCCCACAUGACCCUGUCAAAGGAUACAGUGAUCUCCAGGAGAAGCCAGCAGAAUGAGCACAGGCACCACAUUUCAUAGUCUUUCUAUUAUAUCUAUAUUUCUAUUAUAUAUUAUAUUAUAUAAUAUUGUACAUACAUAAUAUGUACAUAAUAUUUGUUCAUAUGUUAUCCAUUUUCUAGUAUGUUUUUUUAUUGUUUGGAUAUGGACUUGUAAGUUUGUGCAUGUACCUGUGUGCACAUGGCUCCAUAUUUAAUAUUUUUAAUUGUGUGUUCUUCAUAUAAUUAUUAUUAUAUUGAAAUAAACAUAUAUACUAUAUAUUAUAUCAUAUGUACAGUAUAUUUUUUAUAUAUUUUAUCAAUUUUAUUCCAUCAAUUUUGGAUUCUUUUCUACAUGGACUUCUAGCCCUAUCUACUGUACUGCUUGUGGUCAUACGCGUGCAUGUGGCCACGUGCACAUCACGUGCUUGUGACUAUGUGCACAUGUAUGCAUGUAAGUAUGUGUAGGCUACAUUAUGAAAUGUUGGGUGUCACUUUUGACCAAGAAAUAUUGUGUUCAUUUAGACUUGAGUCUUAAUAAAUGUGUUUUAAUCAAUGCAAAAAA